ensembl:lncRNA
AUGAAUGAUCGUCCAAGGCAAAAUGUGCUUGAACUGGGACAAAGAAUCAUCCCGUGGAGAAGACCCACAAAGAUGUGCAGCCGGGUCGGUGCUUUCCUUUCCGCCGGAAAGGUUGGAGUGGUGGCUAUCUCCCUCUGCCUUCAAAAAAAGUUUCACUCAGUAGCUAUCUUUUAUGGAGAGAGAGAGAGAGAGAAAAAGAACUUAACUAUAUUAGAAACUCACACAUAUUUUUUACGUUUGUUAAAAUUUGCAGAAAGGUUUUUGCGAGCGACCCAAUUAAAGCAACAAUCAUAAUGACAGACUCACUAUUUAAAUAAGAUUUGAUUUGUUUUAUUCAACAAAGUUGUUAAGCCUUUACAAUGAGGUCAUACAGUAUUUCUGCCCAAAUCCACAUAAAGAUACAGAAAAUGACAUAAAGAGUGGAAAACAGCACACAGAGUAAAUAGAAAUAGAUGUUAAAAAUGUAGAAAGAGAUUGAAGAUUACAUGUCCAGAGGUUAAAAUUACAAUUACAUUACAGCAUUGCCAUAAAAUAAUUGCUUUGUUCCGAAAAAUGUGUGUUGGGUGAUCCUCAGAAAAAGUCCAUCUGGAGAACUGGGAAAGGCAUCUCAGUGUUUGGAGAAUAGUCGAUCGGUAAGCGGUUGAAAUAUGCGCCAUCAGCAUGUCCGAAGUGUCUCGAGUCCGCAGAGUGUCGUUGGCUCGGUGUUUCUUCAAUAUCGGAGCUGUAGCAUUGUCGGUCGAAGUCUGGUAGCGAAGUCGUUGUUCCUCAAAUGAAUCUGCGUAUAAUGCGCUCCAGCAGGAACUGCCAAACAAGUUGUAACAUCUGCUGCCAGCAGGUUGCAUUCUGCGCUGUCGUAGUCGGCGAGCCUGAGCUCCGCCCAAAAUCAGGCUUCCACAGCGUUACGCAGCCGCAUAUGUUAAUGAUGUUCACGGAUGUAGUUUCUUCAGGCAUCGGAGCAAACGGCUGAAACACCACAGAAGAUGAAAUGAAUGAUCGUCCAAGGCAAAAUGUGUGAGCUCUGCAAGCUUUCCAUUCAAUUUAUAGGCUAUGACAGGUUACACAUUCCCAUGAAAUUGUCUUUCAGUUAGACACUGCUGCGCUCAUGGGUAGCCAAACACACCUAAUGUAGGAUGAAACAGCGCGGUAUUAAAGUGUUCGCGCAGCGCUGAACGGUCAUAGGUGCGGCUCAAGGAACCGAGCUGCGCGACCGACUCCACGGCGCGGAGAGGACGUGUUUAACAGCGCCACCGAACUGACAGCGCCGCGCGAACAUACUCUUCUUCUAAUAACGUUUU